CGAAUUUUUUGACCUUGAUGACU
rnacentral:piRNA from 1 species